UACGUAGGGUGCAAGCGUUGUCCGGAAUUAUUGGGCGUAAAGAGCUCGUAGGCGGUUUGUCGCGUCUGCUGUGAAAUCCCGAGGCUCAACCUCGGGCUUGCAGUGGGUACGGGCAGACUAGAGUGCGGUAGGGGAGAUUGGAAUUCCUGGUGUAGCGGUGGAAUGCGCAGAUAUCAGGAGGAACACCAAUAGCGAAGGCAGCCCGCUGGGACGUUACUGACACUGAGGCGCGAAAGCGUGGGGAGCGAACAGG
rnacentral:rRNA from 1 species